CCCUUCAUUCCUAAACACAUUGCAGACUUUCUAAAAAUAAUGCGUGUUGUCUUUUCUUGCAGACUCCUCUCCAGACGACAGCCUGCAGAGCAAAUCCUGGCACACUACAAGGCCCUCUGUCUGCAAGGCUUUGUGUAGCCUGCUGAAAUCAGGGACCUGAUGGAUGAUUUUUGGCUGGAAGCUGGGCCUCUCAUCCAGGAAUCCCAACUUUUCUUUCCUGGUGCGCUCAGCAGUGCGAAGUUUUGAGCUAACAGACACAGUAGGAUUCUCAUAACCCACUGUUGUCCAAGUGGAUGCUUGUCUGCAGAUCUCCUGUUCUGCACAGAAUUACAACAAAAUACAGAACAGGAUGUAGUUUUGUCAGUGCAUAAAGUGUAUCAGACAUGCUGUAUACGUGCAUACUGCUACUAUAAAUAAAGUAAAUCAGAAAAGGAAACACA